rnacentral:tRNA from 2 species
ACACUCUUAGCUUAAUUGGUUAAAGUUAUAAUCUUCGAAAUUAUUUAUAUGGGUUCAAGUCCCAUAGAGUGUU